rnacentral:rRNA from 1 species
GUCUAUGGCUGUGCCACCCUGGGCAACCCCGAUGUCUGAUCUCGGAAGUUAAGCAGGGUGGGUCUGGUUAGGAGACCCACCUACUUGGAUAGGAGACCACCUAGGAAGACCAGGUGCUGUAGGCA